AGGUGAUGCAGGUGUUAGAUCGGUGUGUGUUGCCAAAUUUAUCUUUAUAUACAGAAGGUUCUAGUAGUCAAGUGCGAACUAUACUCGUAGGCAGCCAAUCAGAAUGCAGGUUGGAAGGAAUUACUGAUGCCUAGAAGUGCGAGCAGAUACCAGCUGGUUAGAAUAUUCAAAACAACAAGAAAGCCUUUCCGAUAUGCAGAUCAUGGGACACAAGAGAAGGAUAGAAAUGGAGAAUGAAGACAUUUCAGUAAGUGAA